rnacentral:misc_RNA from 1 species
UCCGGGUUGGACCCGGCGGUCCCACCAGACAUGGUAACUGGCAGCGAGGGUUGCGCUCGUUGCGGGACUUAACCCAACACCUCACGGCACGAGCUGACGACAGCCAUGCAGCAUCUGUGCACGCUCCCUUGCGGGUCCUCAGCCUUUCGGCCUCGUACCACGUGCAUGUCAAGCCCAGGUAAGGUGGGGAUGACGUAGACCUUGGACC